rnacentral:rRNA from 1 species
UACGUAGGGGGCAAGCGUUGUCCGGAUUUAUUGGGCGUAAAGAGCGUGUAGGCGGCCUGGUAGGUCAGCUGUGAAAACUCGAGGCUCAACCUCGAGACGCCGGUUGAAACCAUCAGGCUAGAGUCCGGAAGAGGAGAGUGGAAUUCCCGGUGUAGCGGUGAAAUGCGUAGAGAUGCGGAGGAACACCAGUGGCGAAAGCGACUUCUGGUCCUUAACUGACGCUGAGGCGCGAAAACAUGGGGAGCGAACGGGG